rnacentral:misc_RNA from 1 species
GAUGAAGAACGUAGCGAAAUGCGAUACUUGGUGUGAAUUGCAGAAUCCCGUGAACCAUCGAGUUUUUGAACGCAAGUUGCGCCCGAAGCCUUUUGGCCGAGGGCACGUCUGCCUGGGCGUCACGCAUCGCGUCGCCCCCCACAAUUCUCCGUAAAGGGAACAUGUGUUUUGGGGGCGGAUAUUGGUCUCCCGUGCUCAUGGCGUGGUUGGCCGAAAUAGGAGUCCUUUCGAUGGACGCACGAACUAGUGGUGGUCGUAAAAACCCUCGUCUUUUGUUUAGUGCUGUUGCUCGCAAGGUAAACUCUUUAAAAACCCCAAUGUGUCGUCUCUUGACGACGCUUCGACCGCGACCCCAGGGCAGGCGGGACUACCCGCUGAGUUUAAGCAUAUCAAUAAGCGGAGGA